UUACUUUCACACUGCAAACGCUGUCCACUUCUGAUGAGCUUGUUCUGUGUUUGUGUUUUUAUUGCAGAUUUUAUUCAUGAACAAGAUCGACCUUUUUCAAGACAAGAUUUUACACUCUGGGCGACAUCUGCGUUUGUACCUGCCACAGUUCAAAGAUCGCUCCCCACAUCCGAGGGUCCCCUCUGCUCUCAUGCAAAUGUGCAGACUGCGACGUGGACUCGUCCGCCCGCUUCAUCGCCGCCACCUUCCUCUCGCUCAACGCCGCUCCCAGCAAACUCGUCUACCACCACUUCACCACGGCCACGGACACCUCCAACGUCGAGGUCGUCUUCGAGGUGGUUAUGGACACCAUAGUCAAAGAGAACCUGGAGGCCGUGUCUCUCCUGUAACGGCCGGCGGAGGUCCGUCGCUCCAUUGGGCCGUUCGGCACCGGAUGGCUCGUUAUAAACGACAUGAAGAUCACGAGCUCCAGACACUUGUUUUCUCUGUGCAGGUGCAGCUUGGAGCUCUGACGCUCUUCUCCUGUGAUGCUUGA
ensembl:lncRNA